rnacentral:rRNA from 1 species
AGCUAUUUAGGUGACACUAUAGAAUACUCAAGCUAUGCAUCCAACGCGUUGGGAGCUCUCCCAUAUGGUCGACCUGCAGGCGGCCGCGAAUUCACUAGUGAUUAGAGUUUGAUCAUGGCUCAGGACGAACGCUGGCGGCGUGCUUAACACAUGCAAGUCGAACGAUGAAGCUGGAGCUUGCUCCGGUGGAUUAGUGGCGAACGGGUGAGUAACACGUGAGCAAUCCGCCCUUGACUCUGGGAUAACUGCGGGAAACUGUAGCUAAUACCGGAUACUUUCCUCGGUGGGCAUCCACUGGGGAAGAAAGAAUUUCGGUCAAGGAUGAGCUCGCGACCUAUCAGCUAGUUGGUGAGGUAAUGGCUCACCAAGGCGACGACGGGUAGCCGGCCUGAGAGGGUGACCGGCCACACUGGGACUGAGACACGGCCCAGACUCCUACGGGAGGCAGCAGUGGGGAAUAUUGCACAAUGGGCGCAAGCCUGAUGCAGCAACGCCGCGUGAGGGACGAAGGCCUUCGGGUUGUAAACCUCUUUUAGCAGGGAAGAAGCGAAAGUGACGGUACCUGCAGAAAAAGCACCGGCUAACUACGUGCCAGCAGCCGCGGUAAUACGUAGGGUGCAAGCGUUGUCCGGAAUUAUUGGGCGUAAAGAGCUCGUAGGCGGUUUGUCACGUCUGCUGUGAAAUUUCGAGGCUCAACCUCGAACUUGCAGUGGGUACGGGCAGGCUAGAGUGCGGUAGGGGAGAUGGGAAUUCCUGGUGUAGCGGUGGAAUGCGCAGAUAUCAGGAGGAACACCAAUGGCGAAGGCACAUCUCUGGGCCGUAACUGACGCUGAGGAGCGAAAGCAUGGGGAGCAAACAGGAUUAGAUACCCUGGUAGUCCAUGCCGUAAACGGUGGGUGCUAGCUGUGGGCCACAUUCCACGUGGUCCGUGACGAAGUUAACACAUUAAGCAC